rnacentral:rRNA from 1 species
UACGGAGGGGGCUAGCGUUGUUCGGAAUUACUGGGCGUAAAGCGCACGUAGGCGGACCAGCAAGUUGGGGGUGAAAGCCCGAGGCUCAACCUCGGAACUGCCUUCGAUACUGCGGGUCUCGAGUCCGGGAGAGGUGAGUGGAAUUCCUAGUGUAGAGGUGAAAUUCGUAGAUAUUAGGAAGAACACCAGUGGCGAAGGCGGCUCACUGGCCCGGUACUGACGCUGAGGCGCGAAAGCGUGGGGAGCAAACAGG